CCAUAUGAUGAGAAAAACGUGAUUUAGCUCUAGAUCGUGAGCUGCUCGCAGCCAUGACAGUUUCGCAUGUAUUACCUGAUGA
rnacentral:snoRNA from 1 species